GUCCACGCCGUAAACGUUGGGCACUAGGUGUGGGUUCCAACCAACGGAAUCCGUGCCGCAGCUAACGCAUUAAGUGCCCCGCCUGGGGAGUACGGCCGCAAGGUUAAAACUCAAAGGAAUUGACGGGGGCCCGCACAAGCGGCGGAGCAUGUUGCUUAAUUCGAUGCAACGCGAAGAACCUUACCUGGGUUUGACAUGCAGUGAAAAGCCGUAGAGAUACGGUGUCCUUCGGGCGCUGCACAGGUGGUGCAUGGCUGUCGU
rnacentral:rRNA from 1 species